UGUGGUGAUGUGUUUUGGAGUCAGAGGGCUGGAGGAGUGCCUUGGCUGCUGGAUGUGGCUGGGAAUGGUGGUUGCAGAGAAAAAUAAAUACCCCCUUGGCGUGUUUGUGGCAUUGGUUUCUUACUGCAAACACAAGGCUGAAUGGGAAAGGAAGGGAAGACUGAGUUGGUGCUGCUGAAUGCAGAGCUUGUGUGGCUGCACCGGCAUCUCUGACAGCAUAAUCUCCUGCUUGGUGUCAUCAUUAUGGAAACAAGCUGUAAAUCUCCCCUUGAUGUUAUGUAGAUCCGGGAUCGCUUGCCUCACGGGAACAGCCACUGUUAAGAAAUAGGGUGUUGAACAUAAAGAUUGCAAGCACUAAUUUUGGGAAGGAGCUGCCUUAGCACCGAGAGGCACCGGUGAAGCUGGGGCUCAGCAUGGGGUUGGCUCCCAGCUCUGGGCGCUCCCCAUACCAAGUCCUCCUUUCCCCUUCUCAUCCCCUUGCAGAGCCAUAGAGCAGCAGGAGGGGAGAGUAGUGCAGAGCCGGGGGAGGGGGGUCGGGUAGCACAAGCUGCUGUUUGGAUAUUUUCAUCUCCGUUUUGCUGACCCACGGACACCUUUGCUCCCAGCCCUGUCAUUUUCACACCUGCUCCCAUUUAAUUCUGCACAUCCUGGCCAGCUCUGCGGGUCGCUGCGUUUCGGGCUCUCCUGCUCCCUGCGCCUCCUCUCACCCUCCACGAGCCCUUUAAUCUCUGGGAAUUUACUUUUUUUCCCUCUGACAUCUCUGAGUCUCUUGUGAAAUGCAAAUUAAUUAGAUUCUAAUUACUCACUGUGUGCUGUUUCUGUUUCGCUCUCUUGUUAGGUUAGUCUAACAUCUUUGUUGUCAGCUGUAUGUUGUAUGUAUUCAGCCCAUUAAAAGUGAUCCUUGUUCAGCGGGAGACAGGCAGAGCAAAGAGACAGUUCCCCCCUCCCGCUGGGGCUUUGUCAGGAGCAGCUUUGUCAGCACUUCCCGGCAGCAUCGCAAAGGCAAACCUUGCCUUUUUUCCUUCCAAUUGUUCAUUUUCCCUCCGUGUG